GACGAACCGUGCGAACGUUGUUCGGAAUCACUGGGCUUAAAGCGUGUGUAGGCGGGUUGGUAAGUAUCUUGUGAAAUCCCACGGCUUAACCGUGGAAUUGCUGGGUAUACUGCCGAUCUUGAGUCAUCUAGAGGUAACCGGAACAGAUGGUGGAGCGGUGAAAUGCAUAGAUAUCAUCUGGAACGCCAAUGGUGCAGACAGGUUACUGGGGAUGUACUGACGCUGAGGCACGAAAGCCAGGGGAGCAAACGGG
rnacentral:rRNA from 1 species